UGAGGAAUAUUGGUCAAUGGGCGGGAGCCUGAACCAGCCAAGUCGCGUGCAGGAAGACGGCUCUAUGAGUUGUAAACUGCUUUUGUACGAGGGUAAACUCACCUACGUGUAGGUGACUGAAAGUAUCGUACGAAUAAGGAUCGGCUAACUCCGUGCC
rnacentral:rRNA from 1 species